rnacentral:rRNA from 1 species
AGUGAACGCUGGCGGUAUGCCUAACACAUGCAAGUCGAACGGCAGCACAGUAAGAGCUUGCUCUUACGUGUGGCGAGUGGCGGACGGUUGAGGAAUACAUCGGAAUCUACUUUUUCGUGGGUGAUAACGUAGGGAAACGUACGCUAAUACCGCAUACGACCUACGGGUGAAAGCAGGGGAUCUUCGGACCUUGCGCUAUUGAAUGAGCCGAUGUCGGAUUAGCUAGUUGGCGGGGUAAAGGCCCACCAAGGCGACGAUCCGUAGCUGGUCUGAGAGGAUGAUCCGACACCCUGGAACUGAGACACGGUCCCGACUCCUGCGGGAGGCAGCAGCGGGGAAUAUUGGACAAUGGACGCAAGCCUGAUACAGCCAUACCGCGUGGGUGCAGAAGGCCUUAGGGUUGUAAAGCCAUUUUGUUCGGAAAGAAAAGCAGCAGGUUAAUCCCCCGCUGUUAUGACGGUACCCAAAGAAUAAGCACCGGCUAACUUCGUG